rnacentral:rRNA from 1 species
GAGCUAUCAAUCUGUCAAUCCUUCUAGUGUCCUGGCCUGGUGAGAUUUCCCGUGUUGAGUCAAAUUAAGCCGCAGGCUCCACUCCUGGUGGUGCCCUUCCGUCAAUUCCUUUAAGUUUCAGCUUUGCAACCAUACUUCCCCCGGAACUCAAAGACUUUGGUUUCCCGGAAGCUGCCCGUCUAGUCAUGGGAUUAACACAGACGGAUCGCUAGUCAGCAUCGUUAAUGGUUAGAACUAGGGCGGUAUCUGAUCGCCUUCGAACCUCUAACUUUCGUUCUUGAUUAAUGAGAACGUUCUUGGCAAAUGCUUUCGCAGUAGUACGUCUUGCGACGGUCCAAGAAUUUCACCUCUAGCGUCGCAAUACGAAUGCCCCCGUCCGUCUCUAUUAAUCAUUACCUCGGGUUCCGAAAACCAACAAAAUAGAACCGAGGUCCUAUUCCAUUAUUCCAUGCACAACUAUUCAGGCAUUAGCCUGCUUUGAGCACUCUAAUUUUUUCAAAGUAAACAUGCCGGCCACGCGGGACACCCGAUAAAGAACACCCCGAGCGAGCCGACUAGCUGUUCGGACCGACAGUAAAUCGCCGAGGGCGCACCGUCGGUCCGGAACUGAGAUCCAACUACGAGCUUUUUAACCGCAACAACUUUAAUAUACGCUAUUGGAGCUGGAAU